rnacentral:rRNA from 1 species
UACGUAGGGCGCAAGCGUUGUCCGGAAUUAUUGGGCGUAAAGAGCUCGUAGGCGGCCUGUUACGUCUGCUGUGAAAUCCCGGGGCUUAACCCCGGGCGUGCAGUGGAUACGGGCAGGCGUAGAGUUCGGUAGGGGAGACUGGAAUUCCUGGUGUAGCGGUGAAAUGCGCAGAUAUCAGGAGGAACACCGGUGGCGAAGGCGGGUCUCUGGGCCGAAACUGACGCUGAGGAGCGAAAGCGUGGGGAGCGAACAGG